rnacentral:rRNA from 1 species
UACGUAGGGGGCGAGCGUUGUCCGGAUUUAUUGGGCGUAAAGAGCUCGUAGGCGGUUUGGUAAGUUGGAUGUGAAAUCUCCAGGCUCAACUUGGAGGGGUCAUUCGAUACUGCCAUGACUAGAGUUCGGUAGGGGAGACUGGAAUUCCUGGUGUAGCGGUGAAAUGCGCAGGUAUCAGGAGGAACACCGGUGGCGAAGGCGGGUCUCUGGGCCGAUACUGACGCUGAGGAGCGAAAGCGUGGGGAGCGAACAGG